rnacentral:lncRNA from 1 species
UGAACAGAUUAAUCUGCAGGGAUCUAGGAGAAAAACACUAUCCACAAGCAGAGGACAAACUGUGGAGUAAAAACACCGAGAAAAAGCAACUACUUCACUACAGUGGUUGAGGGGACAUGUCUGAGGAGAGACUCUAAAUGAACACUCUAAUGCAAAUAUCAACAACACGGAAAUGGGUUUGAAUCAAGAACAUAUGUGAUACCCAGUGGAAUCACACAUCUGCUAUGGGAGAGGUGGGGUGGGUGGAAAAAGAAAAUGAUCUUUGUCUCUAAUGAUAAAUGCUUGGUAAAUGAUCAAACUAAAACAUUCGUUAAAUAAAAAAAGAUCUAGGGCAAGAAACAAAUGCUUGGCAUACCUACCUCAUAGGUUUGUUGUGAGGAGGUAAUAAUCAGGUGGGAGUUCAAAAUUGUCCCCUAUGUGAAAUCUCUCCGAAAGUGAAGCAAUUGGAAUUUCAAAAGAGCUUCAAAAAUAUUUUAAAAGAAAAAAAAAACAUAUGAUUGGGGGUUUGAUGUUAAAGGGUAGCUCUACUGCAGAUAUGAAUAAUAGAGAAUAAUGAAUAAAAGAGGGGGGAAUCAUGAAUCAUGUAACCAUGGAAAAAUAUUCUAAAUUUAAAAAAAAAAGAAAAAGGAAAAAAAAAACAUGAGUUAUCUUUCCUGAAAGUUGAUGGGAAAAAUCUUUCAACAUGUUCUCAACUCCUCCUGUUUCUUGUUUCCUUCAAAUUACUCCAUGUUUUGUAGGCUGUGAGAAUAAUGGAUUCAUAUUUGGAAAUGAUCACAGUAAAUAGUGAAAUAAAAAAUGAGGAAAAAUAAGAAAGCAUGUCUACAUACAGACAAAACUUCAGAUCUCAGCAGGCAAUGAAGAUUGUAAUUUUUGAAAGCACUAGAGAAAGUACAAUUGCUGAUAAUGAUGACUCAGAAAAUGAAACUGAUUCAACAAAGUUCUAUAUGGUAAUACAGGUUCUAUUCAACAAGUUCUGCCCCCUCCCCCACCUUACUCAUCUUUUCAAGACUAUCUGUGAAUUGAGUGCGGGGAUAGGAAUGAGAAGGUAA